GCAAAAAUGGUUUUGUGGUUUGGUGGCCGUGAGUCGAUUUUUUUGUUUUCCCAUACAAAUGAAUUUUGCGNAAAAUAAAAAGUGGCCCACGAGGCAGUCCUGGCGUGCGGCCCACUAAAACGGUCUCGGAGGGUAUAUGAGAAGGGAGCAAAUCCGGCCGAGCCUGAAAGGGUGAGGACAAACCGGGCGAGCAACCUCUCAGUAUCAGAUCUUGCAGACUUUCCACUGCGUGUCCCUCUGUACAGCUUUGCAGGCUCCGGCCUCGGCAGCGGGGGGUUCAUAGUGGUCGUCGACCUCCACGAAACUGCACGCUCCGGCGUGACAGCGUACUGGGGAUGCCUGUGUAGAUGCAGUCCGGGCUUGCCUGGACCGCUAGCAGAUGGGCUCUGUGGAUGACUGGCCGCUGGCUAGACCUGAAACCUGAGCAACGGGAGGUAACCUCUCGCCGCGGACACCGGAAUGGUAGAAGCGGCGUGCUGCGUCCUCCUCUUGGGGCCCCUAAGCCACACCUCCCAUAGCGGGUUCGGUGCGGCGGACGGACGCCCUGGGGAAUUUAGAGGGGGAAAGCGGAUUGCCCUAGCGGUGUUGUUGGCCCUGCCGACCUCACUGCGAAAGGCGCGACUUCACCGUCGCCACCCAGUAACUUGUCUCUCCGGCGCUUCACGGCGCUGGUGGCCAACCCCGGCACACGAUAGUUACCUGGUUGAUUCUGCCAGUAGUCAUAUGCUUGUCUCAAAGAUUAAGCCAUGCAUGUCUAAGUAUAAGCAAUUAUACCGCGAAACUGCGAAUGGCUCAUUAUAUAAGUUAUCGUUUAUUUGAUAGUACCUUACUACUUGGAUAACCGUGGUAAUUCUAGAGCUAAUACAUGCUAAAAAUCCCGACCUCAGGAAGCGGAUGUAUUUACACCUGAACCACUCAACCUCAGUCUGAAGCGCUUGAUC
rnacentral:rRNA from 1 species